UACGGGGGGGGCAAGCGUUGUUCGGAAUUACUGGGCGUAAAGGGCCAGUAGGCGGCCAACUAAGUCGGAUGUGAAAUCCCCAGGCUUAACCUGGGAACUGCAUCCGAUACUGGAUGGCUUGAAUUCGGGAGAGGGAUGCAGAAUUCCAGGUGUAGCGGUGAAAUGCGUAGAUAUCUGGAGGAAUACCGGUGGCGAAGGCGGCAUCCUGGACCGACAUUGACGCUGAACGGCGAAAGCUAGGGGAGCAAACGGGG
rnacentral:rRNA from 1 species